UACGAAGGGUGCAAGCGUUACUCGGAAUUACUGGGCGUAAAGGGUGCGUAGGUGGUUUGUUAAGUCUGCUGUGAAAUCCUCGGGCUCAACCUGGGAAUGGCAGUGGAUACUGGCAAGCUAGAGUGCGGUAGAGGGUAGUGGAAUUCCCGGUGUAGCAGUGAAAUGCGUAGAGAUCGGGAGGAACACCAGUGGCGAAGGCGGCUACCUGGACCAGCACUGACACUGAAGCACGAAAGCGUGGGGAGCAAACAGG
rnacentral:rRNA from 1 species